CCUACGGGUGGCAGCAGUGAGGAAUAUUGGUCAAUGGGCGCGAGCCUGAACCAGCCAAGUAGCGUGAAGGAUGACUGCCCUACGGGUUGUAAACUUCUUUUAUAAAGGAAUAAAGUGAGGCACGCGGGCCUUUUUGUAUGUACUUUAUGAAUAAGAAUCGGCUAACUCCGUGCCAGCAGCCGCGGUAAUACGGAGGAUCCGACCGUUAUCCGGAUUUAUUGGGUUUAAAGGGAGCGGAGAUGGGUUGUUAAGUCAGUUGGGAAAGUUUGCGGCGCAACCGUAAAAUUGCAAUUGAUACUGGCAGUCUUGAGUACAGAUGAGGUAGGCGGAAUGUGUGGUGUAGCGGUGAAAUGCUUAGAUAUCACGAAGAACUCCGAUUGCGAAGACAGCUUACUAAACUGCCACUGACAUUGAUGCUCGAAAGUGUGGGUAUCAAACAGGAUUAGAUACCCUUGUAGUC
rnacentral:rRNA from 1 species